ensembl:lncRNA
CGGAUGGGGAAGAAGGCGUCUACUUCUCCUUGAGGGGCGCGGCGCUCUGAAGUCGGCGGAGGCUGUGGAAGGGUUAGGGCUCGCUGCACUCGAACCACUGUUCUUCAAAUCAGCGUAGUCUCAGAGUCCGUACAGUCUAAAACUGGAAAAGAUGACGGGGAGCCUGGUGUCGUUAGCCUGGAGGACGGGUUGGGUCGAGGUUCUAGAUGGUUCUGGGGAUGAGAACCUUUAUCCCUGUGUCCCCGACGUUUGUCACAGCCAGGCGAGGUGGCCUGGUCACCGGAAGGAAGAUCGGGAGCUCAACGGUAUCCCCCGCUACAAAGUUCAAGCCAGGACUGAGACCCAAGUCAUUUGUUGUAACAAGUUAAUGUAUCCUUACGUGCUUGUCGUUUGUUUGGUUUUCGAGACAGGGUUUCUCUGUGGCUUUGGAGGGUGUCCUGGAACUCUAUACCAGGCUGGCCUCGAACUCAGAGAUCCGCCUGCCUCUGCCUCCCGGGUGCCGGGAUUAAAGAUUUACAAUGUAUAGUGUUCUGUCACCUGCACGCCAGAAGAGGGCACCAGAUCUCAUUACAGAUGGUUGUGAACCGUCAUGUGGUUGUUGGGAAUUGAACUCAGAACCUCUGGAAGACCAGCCAGUGUUCUUAAUCACUGAGCCAUCUCUCCAACCCCUAGAAUUGUUUUAUUUGUAAUUCUGUGAAGGGUGGUUGGGGUGGGACCAGGGACUGUAUGUGCUCAUAUGAAUGCAGUUCCCAUAAAGUCCAGAAGAGGGCACUGCUUGCCUCAGAACUGGAAUUAGAGGCCAGUGUACGUGCAAGAACUGAAUGUGGACCCUAUGCAGAAGUAUAAACGGCCUUUUUAAAAUGACUUCACUGUUUUUAUCUUAUGUGCAUUGAUGUUUUGCCUGCGUGUAUGUCUGUGUGAGGGUGUCAAGUCCUCUGGAAUUGGAGUUACAGACAGUUGGGAGCCACCAUGUGAGUGCUAGAUUGAACCCAGAUCCUCUGGAAGAACAGCCAGUGCCCUUAACUGCUGAGCCAUCUCGCCAGCCUCUGCCUUGUUUUUGUUUGGGGACUGGUUCUCACUCUGUAGUCCUGGCUAGUCUGGACUGGCUGUGUAGACCAGGUUGGCCCCCAGCUUAUGGUAAUUCUGCCCCUGCUUUCUGAGUGCAGGGAUGGUAGGCUCACCCGCCACAGUCAUCCUUCUUUUGGGAGCCAGAGAUGAGCAGCCUGGUUUUUCAUGUUUAUUGUUCUCAUUUUUAAAUUCACCAUGGAACUGUGUGGGGUCUGUUUUCACCCACAGUCACUGCUGUCUCAGGCCCCAGAGCAUAGCAGGUCCCUGUUGGAGCUUUCUGUCACUUAGCAAGGAACUCCUAAGUACCAUAGCUUCUUGUGGGGAAUGAAUAGUGUCUACCUGUGUGGCUGGGGUGUGGCUCAGGAGCUGAGCAAGCAACAUCCAGCACUGAUCUCCAACCAAGGCAAACAAGCAAAAAUCUUGUGUGGAUGCCCCACUCAGUUUGUGUAGCCAGUAACCUGUUGAACGUUAGGAUAUCUUGGUUGUUUUCAGGUCUCAACACUUAUGAAUAACAUUUCUGGGUGGAAGAGAUGGCUCAGAGGGUAAAGGCACUUGCUAUCGAGUCUGAUGACCUGACUUGGAUCCCAGGGACCCACAGGGUGGAAGGGGAGAAUGGUUUCUGUAAGUUGUCCUAGGUUCCACCUGUACACUGUGGCACAUGUACACAAAUGAAUGUAAAAGUCUUAAUUGUUAAUAAAAAUAAAUAAUAAUAGUAAAAAAUCUUAAUUGUUAGUAAACCUUCACUUGGCUGGGCCCUGUUAUCCCCGACUCCGGAGACAGAGG